rnacentral:rRNA from 1 species
AUGGGGAGCCAUGGCGGCGCAGUGGUGAGGGCGCCGUUGGUGCUCGAAGAGUUCAUACCGCUGAAGAACAUCGGGAUCGAUGCGGUGGAGAAGGCGAACUGGAUGGUGUCCGCGCAGCUGUGGAACGGGCCGGCUGCGGGGGACGCGGCGGCCAAAGGCCCGCAGACUCCCAAGGAGCGUUCGGAGCACCCAUUGAACACGAGCCCCAUGCUCGGCGGGCUCGACGGUGGCGGCAACGACGGCGGCGCCUUCCUCCUGUUCACCAAGGAGAAGGCCUGUAUCGCAGAGAGCGUGGCGCUACCGGAGCUCGGGCUCGCGCCCGCGGAGAAGGAUCGGUGCACCACCGUCGUCUACGGCCGGUGCGAGAGGCAGCGGCGGAAGGGCGCGGGCGGCUGGGAGCGUGUGCUGGCCGCGACCAGGCAGCAGCGGCGGCCAUAG